UGUUAGGGAUUAAGCUAUCUUUCAACUGGUGCAUACUUAUUGGUGUGAGUAUGUAGCAGCAUUCUAAGUGAGGAGGUUCCAUGAAUACUGCUCUACUGCACCUGGAGACACACCUUCCAAGCCUGCAUUUUUCCACUUGCGUUGCACGAGCUUCUGACAAACAUCUAUAGUGAAUAUGUUCAAAACUCCAUCUGCAGAAGAGGGGCAAGAUUGGGGAAGAGAAGGGUCCCCAAAUCACCUGUCCCCACCAAAUUACCUAGAUAACCUUCAAAUCAUCCUGAAAAUCUAUGAAUGCGGCUUGAGAUUAAAGAGAGAACAGCUGGAAUGCUACAGUGAGAAGAGUUCACGCUUCUGUCAAGGUCAUUAUCGCUGGGAGCCAUUGUGAAGGCUGCGAACCCCAGAGCCCAGAAGGAAGCACCUCGGACUCAUUCAAAAUAGAACAGGACACAAUUGGACGGUUUGACUACAGAAGAUGACCAUGGCUGCAUCUUGUAGCAUUCCCAUCCCAUCCUGCUUCCCCCAUUGAAAUGAGACCAGAGCUCACGUAACUGGAGCCGGUCAGGAGAACAAGAUCUUCUGUUGCUGUUGCCCUACUUUCAGUGGCUCUGGGCUUAGGAGAGUCCAGAAAGAGAGAUGUUCAUGCCUCUAUGGACGUCAGUAUGGCCCUCUUUCCGAAGGUUCUGGUUAUGUGCGGGAGACUUCAACAGAUUUACUGAGAUACGACUGGCAUAGAAAACUUGGUGGGGAUUAAGGAGUCCACUUUGGAUGAGCACCAGAUGUGCUGAAUCACUAUGCUGCACACCUGAAACUAAUACUGCACUGUAUGCCAACUGAAAUUUAAAUAAAGCUUAAAAUUUAUCCAUA